UGCAAGUCGAACGCACUGACGUCGACCGAAGCUGCUUGCAGUGGACGUUGAUUGACGUGAGUGGCGGACGGGUGAGUAACACGUGGGUAACCUACCCUUAAGUGGGGGAUAACAUUUGGAAACAGAUGCUAAUACCGCAUAACCAUUCAGACCACAUGGUCUGAAUGUAAAAGACGGCCUUUGGCUGUCACUUUUGGACGGACCCGCGGCGUAUUAGUUAGUUGGUAAGGYAACGGCUUACCAAGACAAUGAUACGUAGCCGACCUGAGAGGGUAAUCGGCCACAUUGGGACUGAGACACGGCCCAAACUCCUACGGGAGGCAGCAGUAGGGAAUCUUCCACAAUGGACGAAAGUCUGAUGGAGCAACGCCGCGUGAGUGAAGAAGGUUUUAGGAUCGUAAAACUCUGUUGUUGGAGAAGAACAGGGACUAGAGUAACUGUUAGUCCUUUGACGGUAUCCAACCAGAAAGCCACGGCUAACUACGUGCCAGCAGCCGCGGUAAUACGUAGGUGGCAAGCGUUGUCCGGAUUUAUUGGGCGUAAAGCGAGCGCAGGCGGUUUUUUAAGUCUGAUGUGAAAGCCUUCGGCUUAACCGAAGAAGUGCAUUAGAAACUGGGAAACUUGAGUGCAGAAGAGGACAGUGGAACUCCAUGUGUAGCGGUGAAAUGCGUAGAUAUAUGGAAGAACACCAGUGGCGAAGGCGGCUGUCUGGUCUGUAACUGACGCUGAGGCUC
rnacentral:rRNA from 1 species